rnacentral:rRNA from 1 species
UACAGAGGGGGCAAGCGUUGUUCGGAAUUACUGGGCGUAAAGUGUGCGCAGGUGGCCGCGCAAGUCGAGUGUGAAAUCCCCGAGCUUAACUUGGGAAUUGCGCUCGAAACUACGUGGCUCGAGUGUGGCAGAGGAAGGUGGAAUUCCCGGUGUAGCGGUGGAAUGCGUAGAGAUCGGGAAGAACAUCAGUGGCGAAGGCGGCCUGCUGGGCUGUUGCUGACGCUGAGGCGCGACAGCGUGGGGAGCAAACAGG